rnacentral:rRNA from 1 species
UGGGGAAUAUUGCACAAUGGGCGCAAGCCUGAUGCAGCGACGCCGCGUGAGCGAAGAAGGCUUUCGAGUCGUAAAGCUCUGUCCUAUGAGAAGAUAAUGACGGUAUCAUAGGAGGAAGCCCUGGCUAAAUACGUGCCAGCAGCCGCGGUAAUACGUAUGGGGCGAGCGUUGUCCGGAAUUAUUGGGCGUAAAGGGUACGUAGGCGGUUUUUUAAGUCAGGUGUCAAAGCGUGGAGCUUAACUCCAUUAAGCACUUGAAACUGAAAGACUUGAGUGAAGGAGAGGAAAGUGGAAUUCCUAGUGUAGCGGUGAAAUGCGUAGAUAUUAGGAGGAAUACCGGUGGCGAAGGCGACUUUCUGGACUUUUACUGACGCUCAGGUACGAAAGCGUGGGGAGCAAACAGG